ACUUUUGAAAACAGUUGGUGGUUAACGCUCUCCAGCAAUGAAAUGCUUCAUUUUGGUUUAACACCUUAGAGAAUUCGCGUGGAAACUUUGAGCGGAUUGAAUUUUAUAAUAAUAUCGAUAGAAAGAAGUGAGGAAGAAUAAAGGAACCUUGAUGAUGAUGACGAGGAUAAGCUAUAUAUGGAAAGAUACGACCACCAGCAGCUCACUUACAAUGAUAGAUUUGACAUUUUUCCUGUUAGUCAGUACUACGUUAUCACAAGCGAGUGUUGACUCUAAAGUCUGUGACUUUGAACAUGGCCUGGGUACGAAUUUAUGUCCAUGGUACAAUGUUGAGGGAGUUGAUGAUGGGAACUGGAUUCUCAGCAAUUAC